UACAGAGGGUGCGAGCGUUGUCCGGAAUCAUUGGGCGUAAAGAGCGUGUAGGCGGCUCGGUAAGUCCGCUGUGAAAGUCCAGGGCUCAACCCUGGAAUGCCGGUGGAAACUGUCGAGCUCGAGUCCGGAAGAGGCGAGUGGAAUUCCUGGUGUAGCGGUGAAAUGCGCAGAUAUCAGGAGGAACACCAAUGGCGAAGGCAGCUCGCUGGGACGGUACUGACGCUGAGACACGAAAGCCAGGGGAGCGAACGGG
rnacentral:rRNA from 1 species